UACGAAGGGGGCUAGCGUUGCUCGGAAUUACUGGGCGUAAAGGGCGCGUAGGCGGACAGUUUAGUCAGAGGUGAAAGCCCAGGGCUCAACCUUGGAAUUGCCUUUGAUACUGGCUGUCUUGAGUUCGGGAGAGGUGAGUGGAAUGCCGAGUGUAGAGGUGAAAUUCGUAGAUAUUCGGCGGAACACCAGUGGCGAAGGCGACUACCUGGCCUGUUCUUGACGCUGAGGCGCGAAAGCUAGGGGAGCAAACGGG
rnacentral:rRNA from 1 species